rnacentral:rRNA from 1 species
UGGGGAAUAUUGCACAAUGGGCGCAAGCCUGAUGCAGCAACGUCGCGUGAACUAUGAAUGCCAUCGGAUCGUAAAGCUUUGCUGCAGGGGAAGAUAAUCAGGGUACCCUGCGAGGAAGCCUCGGCUAACUACGUGCCAGCAGCCGCGGUAAUACCUAGGGGGCUAGCGUUAUCCGGAUUUACUGGACGGAAAGGAUGCGUAGGUGGUCUUUCAAGUCGGUGGUUAAAGGCUACGGCUCAACCGUAGUUAGCCUCCGAAACUGGAAGCCUUGAGUACAGGCGAGGAAAGUGGCAUUCCCAGUGUGGCGGUGAAGUGCGUAGAUAUAGGGAGGGACACCAGUGGCGAAGGCGGCUUUCUGGACUGCAACGGACCCUAAGGCACGAAAGCGUAGGUAGCGAUCAGG